rnacentral:rRNA from 1 species
GAGGUAUCAGAAGUGCGAAUGCUGACAUGAGUAACGAUAAGGGGGGUGAAAAACCCCCCCGCCGAAAGAUCAAGGUUUCCUGUCCAACGUUAAUCGGGACAGGGUGAGUCGGCCCCUAAGGCGAGGCGGAAACGCGUAGUCGAUGGGAAAUCGGUUAAAAUUCCGAUACCGAUUCUUACUGCGAUGGAGAGACGGAGAAGGCUAGGCUAGCACGGCGUUGGUUGUCCGUGUUUAAGCGUGUAGGUAGGGGGAUUAGGUAAAUCCGGUCCCUCGUUAAUCUGAGACGCGAUGACGAUCCUGAAGGGAAACCUGACGGAGAAGUAGUUGAUGCCAUACUUCCAGGAAAAUCUUCUAAGCUUCAGGUAAGAAUUGACCGUACUGUAAACCGACACAGGUGAUCAGGUAGAGAAUACCAAGGCGCUUGAGAGAACUUGGGUGAAGGAACUAGGCAAAAUGGUACCGUAACUUCGGGAGAAGGUACGCUCUUCAUGGUGAUGGGAUUUACUCCCUAAGCUGAGGAGAGUCGAAGUGACCAGGUGGCUGCAACUGUUUAUUAAAAACAUAGCACUCUGCAAACUCGUGAGAGGAAGUAUAGGGUGUGACGCCUGCCCGGUGCCGGAAGGUUAAUUGAUGGGGUUAUCUUCGGAGAAGCUCUUGAUCGAAGCCCCGGUAAACGGCGGCCGUAACUAUAACGGUCCUAAGGUAGCGAAAUUCCUUGUCGGGUAAGUUCCGACCUGCACGAAUGGCGUAAUGAUGGCCACGCUGUCUCCACCCAAGACUCAGUGAAAUUGAAAUCGCUGUUAAGAUGCAGUGUACCCGCGGCUAGACGGAAAGACCCCGUGAACCUUUACUAUAGCUUCACAGUGGACUUUGAUCUUAUUUGUGUAGGAUAGGUGGGAGACUUUGAAGCGUUGUCGCUAGACAGCGUGGAGUCAACCUUGAAAUACCACCCUGAUAAUAUUGAGGUUCUAACUUAGCUCCUGAAACGGGAGUGAGGACAUUGUGUGGUGGGUAGUUUGACUGGGGCGGUCUCCUCCUAAAGAGUAACGGAGGAGCACGAAGGUACCCUAAUGACGGUCGGAAAUCGUCAGUUUAGUGUAAUGGCAUAAGGGUGCUUGACUGCGAGAGUGACAACUCGAGCAGGUACGAAAGUAGGUCAUAGUGAUCCGGUGGUUCUGAAUGGAAGGGCCAUCGCUCAACGGAUAAAA